AUGUUCCGCAGGGCACGCCUUAGCGUGAAGCCGAAUGUCAGGCCCGGAGCAGGCGCCAGGGCCUCCACCGCCCCCAAUUCCCAGCGUGAACAAGAACCUCCAAGGCCGCAGGAGCCUGCCGCGGCCUCUGCUCCGAAGCCUCCGGAAUCCACAGAUGUGCCCCCGGUGGACUUCGGGGAAGCGGAGCCCCAAGACAAGACUCCCAAGAGCAGUGUUGAAAAGACUGAUGAUGGGAAGGAUGUUGAAGAAUCCAGUAAGCCUUCCUUUACUGUUUCACAGAAAAGAAAGCGAAUACCAAGUACUUCUAGUCUGGUCAAACCUAGUGUCAGUGUUCCUUCAGAACCUCAUCCUUUAUCUACAGUUAAUCAAGAAGCUCCACAGCCAAACCCUGUUCCAACAAAAGAGAAACAGCCAUGUUCAGACAGAUACCGAAUAUACAAAGCCCAGAAACUGAGGGAAAUGUUAAAAGAAGAAUUGAGGAAAGAGAAGAAGCAAUGGAAAAACAAGUAUGCCGUAAAUGAAACUCAAAGGCCACCGGAUCGUUCCAAAAUGACUAUGAGAGACUUCAUAUAUUAUCUACCAGAAAGCAAUCCAAUGACUUCUUCACUGGAGCAGGAAAAGAAAACUGAAAAAUCAUCGACACCAGUCCGAACACGAGAGCAAGAAAGCAAGACUACUCCUGAUGGUGAAGAUAACGACGAAGUAGAAGAAGAGUUGGAUGAUGGGCCCUUGCUGGUUCCUCGAGUAAAAGUGGCAGAAGAUGGGUCUAUUAUUUUGGAUGAAGAAAGUUUAACUGUAGAAGUUUUAAGGACAAAAGGUCCCUGUGUUGUUGAGGAAAAUGACCCCAUAUUUGAGCGUGGUUCUACAACUACAUAUUCCAGCUUUAGGAAAAGCUACUACUCUAAACCAUGGUCAAAUAAAGAGACAGAUAUGUUUUUUUUAGCCAUCAGCAUGGUAGGAACUGACUUUUCUAUGAUUGGACAGCUUUUUCCUCACAGAGCAAGAAUAGAAAUUAAGAAUAAAUUUAAACGUGAAGAGAAAACAAAUGGAUGGAGAAUAGACAAAGCAUUCCAGGAAAAGCGCCCUUUUGACUUCGAUUUUUUUGCUCAUUUGCUUCAGAAAGUUCUUGCCGAAGAAGAGAAAAGAAAACAAAAAUCUGUUAAAAAUCAGAGUUCAAAGGAGAAGAAGUCCUCUAAAUCACGGAAAAAUGUAAAAGUGAAAAAAGUUGCUAAUGAUGAUCGAGAUGAGUCUGUGAGCACUAAAAUUUCAAACUCAGGAAGGUCGCAAAAGGAUGCUCAGACAGUUGAAGAAGAACUGCAGUCUCUGACUUUAUCUGAACAGGAUUCAGAACAGAAUGCAUUAGAACUAGACGUAAAUCAAAAGAAAAGAAGAAGAAAGAAUCAGGGUGAGGGUAGUGAACAAGAAGUGCAUUUUUCAGGAAGUGCCACUGUUCAGCCAGGCUCUUCUAAAGGAGAAAAACACAAAAAUAAAGGCCUGUGUUUAAGUCCUGAGAUUAAUGAAAAUGAAUCCAGUAAGGAACAAGAGCUUCCCUGUGUACAGGACACAGAUGACCUUGUGGGUUUAUCCUCUAGUGAAGACGCUGAGAAAAGAACUGACCCUAUUCUUUCAUCAAGUAGUCAACAAGAUGUCAUAUCAGUAGCAACUGAGACUGCAGAAUCAAACACUUCAGACUUGCCUUCAUCAGAAGGUGGAGUUAGAGCAUUGUGUGAGGUGAAUAGUGCUGAGAGUAGUUGUACAGAAGAAAGAGAUGUUGACCUAAAAGAUAAAUCACUGGAACCUGACCAAACAGAAACUAUUAAACCAAUGACAAGAGGACGACUCCAGAGACCUAAACCCAAUUUAUCGAGGGCAGUUGGGAAGAAAUCAGUUCUUUCACGAGGUAAAACAGAUGCAGAGGACAAGAGUUUACAUAAAGAAACUCCUGUUGAAAAGAGUCCCAUGGAAAAGGAUGGUAUUUCUGGAAUGGAGAAUACAGAGAAAGGGAACCGAGAACCUGACUCUGUAUCUAAUUUGAGUGAAAAAACUUGUCUGCAGGAAGAUGAUCAACCAAAGGCUUUCAGACCUGCACGACUAAUGCGGGGCUUAUUACAAAGGCCGAAACCAAAUGUAGGUAAAGCUGCUGAAAGAAAAGGAACUCUUACAUCACAGGAAAAGCCCGGUGCCAGUAUAGAAAAGAAUGAAAAUGAAUCCUGCAUCAACAGAAAUACUCCUGAACAGAUAGAAGAUCAAUCAUGUGAAAAUUUUGAGUGUGAAGACAUUGCAUCACUACCUGAAAAAAAAGACAGUUCCUUUCAAAAUGUGCAGUCAGAUGAGCCCAAGGCUGUUAAUGAGUGUCUGAGUAUUCAGGAGGAUAAUAGAGCAAAUAAAGAUGUUCGAAUUCCAAAGACUCGAUUUCAGAAACCAAAGCCAAAUCUAGGGAGGAGAACUGGAAGAAGAGGAAUUUCCUCAAAGGAAGAGGUACCAAAGGAGGUAUUGCCUCUGAGGAGACAGCAGCUUUGA
rnacentral:lncRNA from 1 species